rnacentral:tmRNA from 1 species
GGGGAUGCUUGGUUUCGACAGGGAGGGAUGAUACGGAGUUGCAGGCCGGGGCGCUUUAACCUCGUUACAAAUGAAGCAAGCCAUUAAACGGCAAAACUAAUACACAGCGGGGUGCUUACGCACUCCAGCUCGCUGCUUAACUAAGUAAAGCAGCCAUCCUCAGAGACCGCUUCUCCGACGGUUUCAAAAGGGUGUUGACAAAUCGGAAUGCUGCCAGAGUGAGUGUCGAGUAGCUCUGGACUAAGAUUACCGUCUAGCUGAAAGCAACCCUGUCGGUGGGGUAGGCCGAAGCAAAAUUUAAUUCAUCGAAUAAGCUUGUAGUAUACUUUGGUCUGAACUUUUUGGACGGGGGUUCGACUCCCCCCAUCUCCACUU